CUGCAGUGAUGAGCUUCAACUUCAUGGUCCGUGUUUCUGAAACGCAUUGACUUUAGCCGAAGUUCUGAGCAU
ensembl:snoRNA SNORD18 Small nucleolar RNA SNORD18